UCGUGAUAUUAAUGUUUUGAUUAAUAUGAAACAAAAGCAAGUUGACUAUUUGCAACUAGAAUUGUUUAGCAUAAAUAUAUUUGAAACUUUGAAAUCCACCAAAGUACAAGAAAAAAUGAAAUUAAUUUCUGAACAAAUUACAGUUGAUAUUUGUGCCGAUCAUCCUAGUGCCUUUUGAAUUCGAAAAAGGCAUAUUGUUACUCUUCCUUAUGAAGAUGAUUUUUCUGAGAAUGAUAUUCCUCCUAAGUCCCGUCCUUGUCAGAUGAACACCGAAUUGGUAGAAUUCUGCAAAAAAGGAAUUUGAAAAUUUGUUGCAAAAAGUUUUGAUAAAACCUUCAAAGUCACCUUGGUCUUGUACUGCAUUUUAUGUUAAUAAUGCUACCGAAAGGGAACGUGGCGUCCCUAGAUUUGUUAUCAAUUAUAAACCUUUAAAUAAAUAUUUAAAAUGGAUUAGGUAUCCUAUUCCCUACAAAAGAUAUUUAUUGUCUAGAUUAUAUGAUGGCAAUAUAUUUUCAAAAUUUGAUUCAAAAUUAGGAUAUUGGCAGAUCCAAAUAUUUAAAGAGCAUGCUUAUAGGACAGCUUUUAAUGUCCCAUUUGGACAAUACGAAUGGAAUGUUAUGCCAUUCGGUUUGAAAAAUGCUCCAUCUGAAUUUUAGAAAAUCAUGAACGAUAUUUUCAAUCCAUAUAUGGAUUUCAUCAUUGUUUAUAUUGAUGAUAUUUUAGUAUUCUCAAAAAUAUUUGAAAUGCAUAUUAAGCAUCUUGAUAUCUUUAAGAAAAUUGUUAUACAAAAUGGUUUGGUCAUUUCUAAAUAAAAAAUGAGUUUGUUCCAAACUGAUGUUCGAUUUCUAGGACAUCAUAUUUGUCAAGGAAAAGUUAUCCCGAUUCAUAGAUCAAUCGACUUUGCAUCAAAAUUUCCUGAUGUUAUCACUGAUAGGACUCAAUUGCAAAGGAUUUUAAGGAGUUUAAAUUACAUAUCCCCUUUUUAUAAAAAAAUUAUCUCAUGAUUUGGCCCCUUUAUACGACAGGCUAAAAAAGGAUCAUAAAUCACCUUGGACUGAUAGUCAUACUGCUUUGGUAAAGGAUAUUAAACUUCGUGUUCAAUCUUUACCAUGGUUAACUCUUGCUAACCCUACUUGGCAAAAAAUUAUUGAGACAGAUGCGUCUAAUAUUGGUUAUGGUGGGAUAUUAAAACAAAUUAGUCCCAAUGACAAAAAUGAAUAUUUGAUCAGAUUUCAUUCUGGGAAAUGGAGCGAGGCCCAGAAGAAAUAUGAUACGGUGGCUCAUGAAAUGUUAACCAUCGUUAAAUAUGUGUUAAAAUUCAGGAUGAUUUAUAUAAUCAAAAGUUUUUGAUAAAAACUGAAGCUCAAUCUGUUAAGUAUAUGUUUAACAAUGAUUUUAAACAUGAUGCAUCAAAAUUAAUUUUUUCUAGGUGGCAGGCCCAAUUAACUCCUUUUGAUUUUGAGAUCCAAUAUAAAAAGGAAAGUGAUAACUCUCUUCCGGAUUUUCUAUCCAGAGAAUAUUUAAAUUCAUUAUGAGUUUUUAUACAACUUUCAUUGAUGAGAAAACUUUAGUUACUAUUUUAAAAAUAAUUCCUCUUAAUAAAGAUUUGCAGGAACUAAUUUUAUGUGAAAUUAUCAACGAUAUUAUUUGUGAAGAUUUCUCUGUACAUAAUUAUGAAGAAAUUGUCGAUAUCGAUGAAGAGAAUUAUUACAGUGACUAUUAUGAUACAUCCGAAUAAAGUAAAGUGUUAUGUUUGUAGGAUGGACUCUCCUUGGGUAACCAUGGGCAGAGGAAGGGGAAGAUCUUCCCCAGGAUCAUCCUAUGGAUCCUCUUCUAACACCUCAAUUAUGCAAAUGGGAAGAAAGAGUUUGAUAAACUCAAGAAUCUCCCAAAGUGAGGCGUCAUCUUCAGUACAUCUGGAAGAUAUUCCAGAAGACAGCUCAUUAUAUGCACAGCUACAGGCUUAUCUGUCACAAAAGAAAAAUGAUACUUUUGCAUCAAUAGCCAAAGAAGACAAUGAUGAUAUCAAGUCUUAUGAAAAGGUAUCAAAAAAAGAAAUGAUAAUUCUUUUAGAAAGCUGUGAAAUACAGAGAAAAGAAGAACCCUGGAAGAUAUUCAAGCGAUACCUAAUAAACGGUUUAUAUUUCCUGGGUGAAUCAUACAAAACCCGAUCAUAUUACGAAACCAUUCUGAUAAGCACGGGUAGUGUUGAAUUUCAACACUUUUCAGGCUACAAUACAAGUGAGAAUGUUUAUAACUUCUCGAAAAUGAUAAUUAAACAGAUUAUAUCUGUUGAGGAUUGAGGUAUCUCCACCAUGAAAGAAAGGCAGAUCAGCCUAAACAAAAUCGAUAUGAGUUUCACAUACUGGUACUAUACUCAUGUCUUUGAUAAAGUCCUCUAUUAUAAUAACGAAAGACAUAAACAUACGUGGUUUAUGAAAAUAUGUGAAAAGAUAUUUGCAGGACCAAUUCCUAAUUGGUUUCCAAAUUGGUGGUCAUACCACGACCCGACUAUAAAAAUUCUGUUGGAUCCCUUUCUUAAAUUAUAUAAAGAAUGGGUUAAAGUCUCACCAGAUCUUAAUGAGUUAUACAAUACACAUCAUAUUUGUUAUCUUGAAAAAAUAGGCCAGAUUUAUUUUUUCAUUGAAUUUUCUAUCCCUUGGAUUCACAAAUGGACCCCAGAAGUGGGAUUCACCGAGGAACAAAUCUCUUAUUUAUAUAGGACUUUUUACAAUCAUUUUUUGGAUAAAUUGAUGAAAAAGGAUCCCAAAACAAAAACGUUAUACGGGCAAGAACUGCUAGAUCUUAUUGCAACAAGGAUCCACGAAUAUAGUAUUACUCCCUAAAAGGGAAUCAUCGCUGAUAGCUCGGUCAGGCAUAUUGCCAGGAAAAUCUCCAUUCAAGAUGGAGAUAAAGAAGAGAUGAUCAACAACUAUUUAGAAGAGGUUAAGAGGAGUCUUCUUCUAAAUCUCACUCAAAUUGAAAAAUCUGACACUUCUAUGAGAAGUGAGACGAGCGAUGACACUACCGAUGAUAACCAAGAAGCUCAACCUAUUGAAAAACUAUGUCAGAAGAUACUCUGAGAAAGGCGGAAGAUUUCCUCAAAAAAUUAAAGGAAAAGGACAUCUUUUUCUAGCAAUAGGUAACCAUUAGGAUAGAUAUAUGACCCGUUAAAAAUAUUUGUUUCAAUUAAGCAUGUGGUUACACAUCUUUUUCUUGAGAUAUUAAAAUAAAUUCAAGGAUGCCGUGACGCACCUUGUCCAAAACUAUAAUUGUUUUUCAUUAAUUUAAAAUAACACUUUUAGAUAAAGUUAAUAAGUUUGAUGCAAAGAAGACAGUUAUGUCUCUAAACGUCAAGACCAAGAAUGCGGUUACGCAUAUAGGUUGAGACCAAAUAAAAGUUCAACAAAUUAAAAAAAAAUGCGAGCAAAUCAUGGCUACAACAUAAUUAUCCAAUAAUAAUAAUAAUAGUAAUAAUAAUAAUAAUAAUAAUAAUUUCAAGUAUAAGUCAAUAAAAGCGACUGUGCUAGAACCACGAAACUCGAGGGAGGCCUAAUACCUUUCCCUCGGUCAACUUAAUUCUUUACCUGAAUUUCUGGUUCGCAAACCAAAAAAAGAGUCAUUUCCUUUUGAUUAGGGAUUAAACAAAAUGGUGACUUGCAACACCAUAACUCAAUUCCAAGUGGAGAUUCUGAAAAAAUAAAAACAAUCCCUAAACCAAUACCGUCACUUAAAUUGGAAAAACCCUAUUCGCCUCCCACUUGCGCAAAAAGGGGUGUGACAAUUAGAAUAACUAAUAAUUAAGAAGUUUUAAAAUACAUGGUAACAGGAAAAUAUAUUUUAAAAAUUAAGAAAUUCUAAAAUAUAUGGUAAGAGAAAAAUAUUUGGUUAAAAUUCUAAAAAUAAUUAAAAUUUGUCAUUAGUUUUGGGGGAAAAAGAGUUGAGCCAGGGGAAGGAUUCAAUGGAACUGUGGCCGCCUCUACCAUCAAGGGAGGCUACACCACACAUUAAGGAAGUAGACAAGCCAGAAGGCAAUUUGGGGAGUGAAAUUCCUGCUCAAAUUAGUGGGAACCUACCAGGUGAGAUGCAAGGAAGUGAGACAGAAGGUGAUACACACAGAAAAUUAGACGUAAAUGUUGAGCCAGCUAAGAAGUGGAUGAUUUUUUUCAAUUCAAAUAGGAUGUCAGCUAAAGGAAUGAGCCUGAGCCUAUGUUAGCCCAGUAAUGAGAAAUGCAGAACAGGUCAUUGAAUUGAAGAAAGAAGAAGUGGAAAAAGAAACAGCAGAAUGGAAGCAAGCUCUUAUCCUCUAUGUGAAUUGCUGCAAUUGAGAGGUAUAUUGCACUACAGGUGAAUACUGUUAGUAAACCUAAAGUAUAUUGCCAUAAUGAUGGUUACUUCUUAGUUAGGUUUCCUAGCUUGGAUGAUAGGAAUGAAGUGUUGUAUUCUGGCCCUCAUAUGCUUAAUAACAAACCUAUUAUAGUUAAAGUUUGGAGUGCUGAUUUUAACUUUAAUAAGGAGGUUUUGCAAACAGUGCCAAUUUGGGUGAAAUACCCAAACCUGCCGUUGAAUUGAUGGAGUAUGGAUUCGCUAAGUAGAAUUAGUAGUGGACUAGGAGUUCCAUUGUAUGCUGAUGAAUGCACUACUAAGGUUGACAAGAUUUCUUUUGCAAGAGUGCUAGUCGAAAUGGAUGUAGCAAGGGAAUUGCCAAAGAAACUCAAAGUGGAAGAUCCAAAUGGGAGAGCUUUGAACAAGAAGUGAAGUAUGAAUGGAUUCCAGAAUAUUGUCCUAAAUGUAUGCAGGUAGGGCACAAAAGUACUACAAAAUAGGGUCCUCGAUAUAAAACAGCUCCUAAGAUUGUCAAUAAAUAGGUUCAGAAGCAACAUAUUACCAAUGUGACAAGAGUUCCACAAGUAAUAAAUGGAGAAAAAGAUAAGGGGAAGAAACAAGUAAGUGAAUAGGUAGAAACAUGGCAACAAGUAUCUCCAAUAAUAAUAGCUAGAGGAAGUGUAGGUACACAGAUAAAUGCACUAGAGGUGAGGAUGACUAAUGGCUUUGAUACAUUAGUAAGAAUGGAACAGGGUUCAACAAGUGUAACAGAGGGUAAUGAAAGUGGAGGAGAAGGGUAUAGAGGAAAUUUACUAGAAAUGGUUACAUGAAGCUGGUCACAUGGAACACAAGGGGAAUAAAUAAACUUCAUAAACAAACGGAACUCAAAUUGCUUAUGAAGGAGAAUAAUGUUGGAAUUAUGGCAAUUUUAGAACAUAAUUUAAAGGAACACUUAGCAGGAAAGAUCACAAAAAAUACCACAAGGAUGGAAAUAGGAAGUAAAUUAUGAACAUACUGAUAAGGGUAGAAUCUGGCUAAUGUGGAAUCCUCAAGUGAAUGAUUGUUUGAAUUUGAGUAAAUUAGACCAAUAUAUACACAGAAGGGUGGUAGUGAAAAGGAAUAACAUGGUGUUUUGUCUAGUGGUUAUCUAUGGAUUACAUACUAUUCAUGAUAGACUACAAUUAUGGGAAGAUUUGAAGCAAAAGGUAGUCAAUACACAAGAACCCUUGAUCUGUAUGGGUAAUUUCAAUGCAGUGUUAACGGGUGCUGAUAGAAUUAAUGGCAAUCCAGUUCAGGAGAUGGAAAUAAAAGACUUUAAUGAGUUUAUAAUAGAUGCUAGUAUGACAGAAUUGAAGGCAACAGAAAGAGAGUCUACCUGGUCAAAUGGAUGCAUAUGCAGUAAGAUUGAUAGAGCAAUGGUGAAUAUAAAAUAGAUGUUGAAUAUGAACCAAGUAGAGAUUAGUUUUAGGCAACCAGAAACAUCUGAUCAUUCUCCAUUGAGUCUGGAGUUGGACAGUAAUAUGAGAGGUAAUCACUAGGCUUUCAAGUUUUUCAAUUGUAUUGCUGCUCAUCCAGAUUUCUUACCAAAGGUGAAGAAAGCAUGGAGAGGUGGACAUAUAAGGGAUCUGAAAGAAGUAUGGUUUAAGCUCAAGGAAGUGAAAGAAAACCUUAAGCAACAUAAUAGCAAAUAAUUCAUAGGGGUGAGGAAUAUUGUAAGGGACAUUAGGGGAAAAUUGCAAAAUAUACGGGAGAUAAUAAGGGAUCCAUCUACAGUAGCUCAGAAUAGACAACAACAAAAGGAAAUGCAAAUCCAAUUAGAGAAAUGUAGCUUGAUUGAAGAGUGCAAUGCAUCAGUAGUCCAGAAUUUAGUGGUUGAGAUUGGGUUAUGCAAACACUGCUUACUUCUAUGCACACAUGAAGAAUAGGGUGGCUCAAAACACAAUCACAAAACUCAAGAUUUCAGAUGGUAAUAUAGCCCAGACACAGGAAGAAAUUGAGCUGGAAGUGAGUACAUUUUAUAAAAAUUUGCUUGGUAAGGCUGCUCAGAAGUUACCUAGUGUGAAUGCUAUGACUAUGAGGAAUGGUAAGGUCCUUAAUAGAGAACAACAUUUAUUACUAGCAGCUAGGGUGACAAGAGAGGAGGUGGAAAUAGCACUCAAAAGUAUACAUGAUAUGAAGGCCCCGAGAAUUGAUGGUUUCAAUUCUUUCUUCUUUAAGAAGGCUUGGAUAGUGGUUGGAGAGAACAUCUUGAAUGCAGUUUUGAUGUUCUUUGACACAAGUUACAUGUACCAGCCUAUUAAUUGUAUAGUAGUGACUGUUAUUCCCAAGAUUGCCAAUCCUACUAAAAUUGGGGAGUAUAGACCUAUUUCAUGUUGCACAACAUUGUACAAGAUCAUUUCAAAAGUGAUUACUAUAAGGUUUCAGAAGGUGAUGAGUUCUUUACUUGAUCCUAAUCAAUCAGUUUUUGUUCGAGGGAGCUUUAUAAAUGACAAUAUGAGCUAUUGAAAGGGUAUAAUAGGAAAGGUAUUUCCAAUAGAUUCAUGAUAAAAGUGGAUAUAAAGAAAGCAUAUGACUCAAUUGAAUCGAGUUUUCUAGAGGAAAUAUUAUAUGAACUGAAGUUUCAAGCUAAAGUGAUCAAGUGGAUAAUGCAGUGUGUCACCACAAUAACCUAUUCAUUUCAAGUUAAUGGAAGAACAACAAAACCAUUUAAAGCUCAGAGAUAGACAAGGUGACCCCAUGUCCCCUUUUCUAUUUGUAUUGUCUAUGGAUUAUCUCACCAAGAACCUAACAAGCUUACAUACAAACCCUGAGUUCCAUUAUCAUCUAAGGUGUAAGAAACAGAGAAUUAUCCAACUGAGUUUUGCAGAUGAUUUAUUGAUGUUCUGUAGGGGUGAUGUCAAGUUUCUUAGAAGCUUAUAUAAGUGCUUUAUGUUUAUUCCAGUGCAUCAGGGCAGGUGGCAAAUGUGGACAAAAUCUGUGUUUAUUUUGGAGGGAUAAAACAGAAUGUACAGGAUCAAAUACUACAAGAUCUCCAAUUUGUGAAAGGUGAGCUCCCAUUCAGGUAUUUGGGAGUCCCCUUGAGUACAAAAAGAGUGUCUAUUGUCCAAUGUAAACCCCUUAUUGAAAAAAUGUUGAAUAGAGUCACUUGUUGGACCAAUAAAGUCCUAUCAUAUGCUGGCAGAGCUCAAUUGGUGAAGAGUGUAUUGUUUUCUAUACAAACCUUUUGGGCACAAAUCUUUGCCCUUCCUAAGAAGAUCAUACAUGCUAUUGUGAGUAUAUGUAGAAAGUUUCUAUGGACGGGAAGUGUGGAGGCAUCAAAGAAAGCAUUAAUAGACUGGGAGAAGUUAUGUUGGCCCAAAGCAAGUGGAGGUCUGAAUUUCCUGGAUGUGUUCAUCUGGAAAAAUGCUGCUAUUGAAAAGUUACUAUGGAAUCUUUGUAAGAAAAAGGAUAAAUUAUGGGUGGAAUGAUACAUAGUUAUUAUGAGAAAAAAGUAAUUUGGAGCAUCCAAGCAAAUCAAGCAUCUUGGCUUGUACAAAGAAUACUUAAAGCUCAUAAACAUCUUCAAGCUGCUGGUUACAACGAGUAUAGUUUAAAGCAAAUUAAUGGAACAAUACUUUAUUAAAAAGGUUUAUGAAAAGAUGAGAGGAGAUGGGGAGAAAGUGGAGUGGAGAAAGCUGAUGUGGUCCAACUAUGGUGUACCAAAAUGGCUAUUCAUAUUGUAUUUAGCUCUAAACAGAAGGCUGUCAACAAAAGAUAGAAUGGAAAAAUGGGGAGUAACAUCUUAUUUGACAUGUCCCUUGUGUCAAGUAGAGGAUGAAGAUAUUGAUUACCUCUUUUUUGCAUGCAAGUUCACUGCUGGAAUAUGGAAGAAGCUGCUAGCUUGGCAAAUAAUACAUCGUACAGAAGGGUGGUGGCAUGAAGAAAUACAAUGGGCAACAACAUAUAUGAAGAGCAACAUCAACAAAGCUAAGGUGUAUAGGAUGGUUUUGGUAGGAACCAUCUAUCACGUGUGGAUAGAGCGUAACAACAGAAUCUUUCAGUCCAAACAGAGAAAUGAGGAGUUCUUGAUUAGACACAUCAUUAAAUGGAAGAGGAACCCACCAUAGGAAGAUAGGUAGUAGACUUUGAGAACUCAAUGUGUACCCUUAGGAUAGAAGACGUGAGAGGAGUUUGAUAGCUAGAAUGUGACGUUUCAGCAAGUCUUGGAGCAUGGCUGUCCAAGUGUGCUGUUUUUUCAGUUAUGUAAUGUUCACUUUGGUAAAUAAAAUUUACUUACCAAAAAAAAAGACUCCUUUUUUGGUUAUAACUAAUACAAAUCAUAGUUUGGAUUCAACUAAAUUUUGGUGUCCUUAAAUUUCCGUCAAUCAACCAUGAGUUUGAAUAUUUUCCAGCUCGAGAUAAUAUUAUAACAUCUAUUAGAUAAACAUCAAUACUCCUCUAUUUGCUAGCUAUAUUUUUGGAUGAUUGAAAUAAUAUUUUAUUUAACUGUAUAGAUCUAUUUAGUGUUUUGCUUGUGUAGUUGUGUAUCAUGUUUAAUUGAUUGUAUAUUUUUGUAAGAAAGAAAAUAAAAGAAAAAUCCACAUGAAUAUCUACUCUUUUAAUAGGACUCUUAGAGUCUUAGUUAUGAUGUAUCUUUGGAGAAGAAAAAACAAAAGAAUAUGUAAGUUCUCUCUAUCUCUACAUAUAUGAAGGGAAAAGAACAGUUAUAUCAUGAUAGCUUUCAAGAGAGGCAGCAAAAAAUCAUGCUUUUGUAAAAGGACCAAAAAUAGCACAAUUAACAGAUCGUCACAUGGAGUUGAAUCUAUCAAAAAUACAUAAAAACUCCAAUCGAAUUAAAGGAUAAUUGGAGGUCAUAUAUGGAAAACAAAGGAAGGAUCAAUUCACACGAGGCACUUCAGUUUACCUGAAAGUUAGCCACAAAGGUAAGCUAGUACGAGGUUGGAGGACCACAUUCUUGAGAUUUGAAGGUAAAAAAUGAAAAUGAGUAGCUACGGGAAAUGAGACAGAUGAAUCUACAUUUUACAAACGUGAGAAGGGAGAUACUCACCUUGUAGACGAAUCAAGAUACAUAGGAGGUAGGACUAAUAAGUUCAGAAAACUUGAUGCUGCCAUGGAUGAUACAGAGAAGUUGAAGAGUUACUUUUUUAAAUCCAAAGAGAAGAUAUAGAGGAUAGA
rnacentral:lncRNA from 1 species